GCUUAUUGGUAUUUGUGUAAAACCUAUUGGUUAGAUAAGGCAAGGGUGGAUAUUAGAGAAAGGGGAUCGAGAAGAAGAACAGGAAAAGCUGUGCCCAAGAAAAAGUUUCCUCUUCAUCGCUCCGUACUCCCUUCAAAUCUCUAUCAUCCAAUACGAAUUCCUUUUCUUCUUCAAGCUUAUCCCCAGCUUUCAUCUUUCCGUUCUUUUUCAUCGCUCCAUCACCACACAAAUUCCAUCUUCCUCAAUACUUUCCUCUCAUCGGUUACAGACUUUCACUGUGACUCAACCAAACAUCACGCCAACUCACUGUUCCGCUCUGUUCCGGAUACUUACAACAACUGCCAACGUUCAUUUUCUUCUCGCUGA